CCUACGGGAGGCUGCAGUGGGGAAUAUUGCGCAAUGGGCGAAAGCCUGACGCAGCGACGCCGCGUGAGGGAUGAAGGUCUUCGGAUCGUAAACCUCUGUCAGCAGGGAAGAACGGUCACUGUGCUAAUCAGCAGUGAAUUGACGGUACCUUCAAAGGAAGCACUGGCUAACUCAGUGCCAGCAGCCGCGGUAAUACGGAGGUUGCGAGCGUUAAUCGGAAUUACUGGGCGUAAAGCGCUCGUAGGCGGUAUGUCAAGUCAAGGGUGAAAUCCCCGCGCUCAACGUGGGAACUGCCUUUGAAACGGGCAAACUGGAGUGUGUGAGAGGAUAGUGGAAUUCCAGGUGUAGGAGUGAAAUGCGUAGAUAUAUGGAGGAACAUCAGUGGCGAAGGCGACUAUCUGGCACAUAACUGACGCUGAGGAGCGAAAGCGUGGGUAGCAAACAGGAUUAGAUACCCCAGUAGUC
rnacentral:rRNA from 1 species